GUAUUAGUGCACUUGUCAGAAGAAACAAAAUGAUACUCUUAGGCAACGAGACUACUUUUUAUUGAACUUGUACAUACAUAACAAAUUUAAUAUAAAACUGCAAAUAAACGAGUAUUACAAUCAGAUUUUGCCUCAAUUUUUUCUCUUUCAUUUCUCAAUUUUUCUCUCGAAUUUUAAGACUAUUCGUUGCUCUUGUUUAACCGCGACAUCCAAUUUCUCCAAUUUGCUUCUCAUUGUUGCAACGAUCUUUAAAUUAUACUUCGCGAUCAACCACUUUUCCUGAGAGAUUUUGAAUCACAUGAAGGAUCUUACAUUAUGCUAUUCCACCGUUGCUGCAACAAAGAGAAAAAAUUUAAAUAUCUUUCCGAAUGAAAUGGUCUUUGAUGUAAACUUGUAACUAGAAAAAUAUUUUCUUUUGCGGCAGAAAAUGUAGUUAUCGAAUGUAGACUUCUGAAACUAACAAUUCUAAUUCUAGAUGAAGAACUUCUAAACUAAUAUCCUCUUCUCCAAUAUUUUCUUUUGGGGGCAAAAUGAGUGCAACAUUGGGUUUAUUCAAACCAGAACGAGGAAAAAAAAUUUAGUAUAUCUUUCUGACAUUUCAACAAACAAGUAAGGGACUUGGUUACUUCUAAUUGUCCUUUACACAUGCAGUAAUCUUUGUCAAAUUAAAGUGAGAAGACGUACGGUAAAAAGCAAAUACAUUAACCAACUAAUUCAGUUUGAGAUAUAGCAAAAAUCUCAAUAGAAUUGAAAAAUCUCUAACUUUUUGACUAUUGAUUCUUUACCUUGUUUGUGAGGCGUGAAACAAUAGCCCUUGCUUCUCUUUUUGCUCGGGAAUAUGCCCUAGAUAAUUCUCUGAAGUUCAUAUGGAAAGAAACUUUAUUUUUUGAUGCCUUGAUCUUUUUUUGUGAAGGUGGAAGACGAUGGACAGGAGGGGCAUUCUUGAAAAUUUUAGGGGAAAACUCACGUGUUUGGCAUGCUCUUUUGCUUAUCCCUUAGUUUUCUUGACAAAAAUUAAGGAAAGAAUGAUUCUUGCAAUAGUUUAAAUAGUUUAAGGAUAUUUUUUUUCACUAAAACAUCACAGGGAUGUACUUUAGGUUUGGGCUAUAAUUCAAGGUUAUUUUUGCCAAAAAACUCUAAUAACAACUAACAAAGGUGCAAAAGGAAUCAAGUUAGUUUGUUUUAAGGCGUUCACGUGUUACAAAUAGCUGUAAGUUGUGCUUAACCCCCUCUCACUGUUUCCUUGCAA
rnacentral:lncRNA from 1 species